rnacentral:rRNA from 1 species
AGAGCGAACGCUGGCGGCAGGCUUAACACAUGCAAGUCGAGCGGGCGUAGCAAUACGUCAGCGGCAGACGGGUGAGUAACGCGUGGGAACAUACCUUUUGGUUCGGAACAACACAGGGAAACUUGUGCUAAUACCGGAUAAGCCCUUACGGGGAAAGAUUUAUCGCCGAAAGAUUGGCCCGCGUCUGAUUAGCUAGUUGGUGAGGUAACGGCUCACCAAGGCGACGAUCAGUAGCUGGUCUGAGAGGAUGAUCAGCCACAUUGGGACUGGGACACGGCCCAAACUCCUACGGGAGGCAGCAGUGGGGAAUAUUGGACAAUGGGCGCAAGCCUGAUCCAGCCAUGCCGCGUGAGUGAUGAAGGCCCUAGGGUUGUAAAGCUCUUUUGUGCGGGAAGAUAAUGACGGUACCGCAAGAAUAGCCCGGCUAACUUCGUGCCAGCAGCCGC